rnacentral:rRNA from 1 species
GACGAACGCUGGCGGCGUGCCUAAUACAUGCAAGUAGAACGCUGAAGAGAGGAGCUUGCUCUUCUUGGAUGAGUUGCGAACGGGUGAGUAACGCGUAGGUAACCUGCCUUGUAGCGGGGGAUAACUAUUGGAAACGAUAGCUAAUACCGCAUAACAAUGGAUGACCCAUGUCAUUUAUUUGAAAGGGGCAAAUGCUCCACUACAAGAUGGACCUGCGUUGUAUUAGCUAGUAGGUGAGGUAACGGCUCACCUAGGCGACGAUACAUAGCCGACCUGAGAGGGGGAUCGGCCACACUGGGACUGAGACACGGCCCAGACUCCUACGGGAGGCAGCAGUAGGGAAUCUUCGGCAAUGGGGGCAACCCUGACCGAGCAACGCCGCGUGAGUGAAGAAGGGUUUCGGAUCGUAAAGCUCGGUUGUAAGUCAAGAACGAGUGUGAGAGUGGAAAGUUCACACUGUGACGGUAGCUUACCAGAAAGGGACGGCUAACUACGUG